rnacentral:snoRNA from 1 species
AGAGCAUCAGUGAUGUAUGACAUCCUUAUGUUAUCCUUGCACUUCGAUUGUUAGUGAAGAAACUUAAUGGGGACAGUGCAGUCUGAGAUGCUC